rnacentral:rRNA from 1 species
UACGUAGGGCGCAAGCGUUGUCCGGAAUUAUUGGGCGUAAAGAGCUCGUAGGUGGCUUGUCGCGUCUGCCGUGAAAGCCCGUGGCUUAACUACGGGUCUGCGGUGGAUACGGGCAGGCUAGAGGCUGGUAGGGGCAAGCGGAAUUCCUGGUGUAGCGGUGAAAUGCGUAGAUAUCAGGAGGAACACCGGUGGCGAAGGCGGGUCUCUGGGCCGUAACUGACGCUGAGGAGCGAAAGCGUGGGGAGCGAACAGG